UGAACCUAAUAUCCUCUUAUAUAAGAUACAAGGAUUGACUAACAAAUUGUGUGACAUCGGAGGGUCUACAGGAUUCAUCAUCAUGGAGAAGAGCAAAACGAUGAUUAAUUGUUCCUGGUCCUGGAAGCAAAAACUUUAUGCCGUCAUCAUCAUGCACAUAAUCAUCGUGUCCUCCGGUCUUGCAGCGUUCUUGUUCAUAAAACUCAACAAAAUCUCUAUGAAUCUAAAUCAAAACCUUGAGGGGUUUGGUCUUUUCAUGUUCUACACCAAUGGCGCUUCAGUAGGACCCGGGGCACCCCCGGAUUCGGAUUCGUCAGAUCCUAAUAAUACCCGGCCGGGUUUAGGUUUCUUUUUGGUCGAAUGUUUGAGUCAUGUCUUUGGGCUCGCUCUUGUCCUCUUUCUUCUCUAUAUUAUUUCUCCCAAGCUCGCUCUAUGUGUCGGAAUACCCUCUUCCGUGUGCUUGAUCGCCUUCUCCUGCUUCUGUCUCUGUGCCACAAAGGAGGAUUUGCAAGCAAACCAAAGUCGUCUACCUGUGUAGCUUUUCAUUCUUCUAUGGUCCUCCGUUCUUUAUCUUCGUUUAUUUCUUUGUAGACACAACUCUGACUAAAGGUUUUUAAUCAGACAACGUUUUUAUUUU